rnacentral:rRNA from 1 species
UGCGUAGGCGGCUUUGCAAGUCAGAAGUGAAAGCCCGGGGCUCAACCCCGGGACGGCUUUUGAAACUGCCCUGCUUGAUUUCAGGAGAGGUAAGCGGAAUUCCUAGUGUAGCGGUGAAAUGCGUAGAUAUUAGGAGGAACACCAGUGGCGAAGGCGGCUUACUGGACUGACAAUGACGCUGAGGCUCGAAAGCGUGGGGAGCAAACA